UACGUAGGGGGCAAGCGUUGUCCGGAAUCAUUGGGCGUAAAGCGCGUGUAGGCGGCUCAGUAAGUCGGUUCUGAAAGCCCGGGGCUCAACUCCGGGAGGUGGACCGAUACUGCUGGGCUAGAGUCCGGAAGAGGCGAGUGGAAUUCCUGGUGUAGCGGUGAAAUGCGCAGAUAUCAGGAGGAACACCUAUGGCGAAGGCAGCUCGCUGGGACGGUACUGACGCUGAGACGCGAAAGCGUGGGGAGCAAACAGGAUUAGAAACCCCCGUAGUCC
rnacentral:rRNA from 1 species